rnacentral:lncRNA from 1 species
GAGAACACUAAGAGCCCGCGGAUUUUAAACAGGAAAAAGAAAGGGCGGAGCAAACUCUGGCGGAUAGUUGUGAGUAAUCCCUGGUCCUUGGAAUAAGUGUCGACCUGAGACAGAAGGGGAACUGUCAGAGAGCUGCCGGAGACCCUGAAAAAGGCCAGAGACGGGGACUUGUGGGGCUGACGAAUGGAAUCACCCAAGGAGAGGUCUCUGACUCUAACAAAACACCUUGGGGACGGAGCUCCUUGGCUGGGAUACAGAGCAGACAAGUCCGGGAUCUUUUAGUGAAUUGCUGCCGGCUUCUAAGGCCUGGAGCAGAUAUUCAACAACAAACUCCACGGACCUAGAAACUCUCCACUUAUCCUACUAUUGUAGACGGUGGCUUACUUUUAGUCUUCCCUAUGCUCUAAGCUUCUGGUAGUAGGAAUCGUGCCUAACUCACUACUGUAUCUUGUGAACCUAGCCCCGCGCCUGGUGGCACGUCAAAUUCUCGGUAAAUAUUUGUGGAUUAAAUGUGAAAGACUGC